UACGGGGGGGGUAAGCGUUGUUCGGAAUUACUGGGCGUAAAGGGCUCGUAGGGGGCCAACUAAGUCGGACGUGAAAUCCCUCGGCUUAACCGGGGAACUGCGUCCGAUACUGGUUGGCUUGAGUUUGGGAGAGGGAUGCGGAAUUCCAGGUGUAGCGGUGAAAUGCGUAGAGAUCGGCAGGAACACCAGUGGCGAAGGCGGCCACCUAGCCCGCACCUGACGCUGAGGCGCGACAGCGUGGGGAGCGAACAGG
rnacentral:rRNA from 1 species